CUGGCCCAGAGUGGGAUCUUAAAGCAGAGUCUGGCUCAAGAUUGAGACAAUUCCCAGCAGAAUGAAUGGAGCAGUAACACAGUCAGAAGGCCCUGAGGGAGGCAGGUGGCUCUCUCUGUUCCUGCCAGCACUCUCUCCCCCACUUCUGAUAACAGACCUGCCGUACCAUGGGAAGAUGGCCAAAAAUGGCCGCCCACGGUACUUGUUCCUCGGCUACAGUAAUUGGUCCAUGUGUAGGCAUGUGACCCAUCAUGACCAAUCAUAGCAGCCCACUUCUGAGCGGGGGCACAGCAAUUGUUCCAGGUGUAGUCAUGUGACUCAAGCAGGGCGAAUUCAGGAUUGUCUGCAGAGCUUGUGGGGAGGAUGUUUCUUUCUCUCCCUCCUCCUCUCUGGCAUCCAGGCCUUAAAGAGGUAGACUUGGCACUACCAGUGGCCUCAGACAAUAAGGCCAAUAAGCAGAGAGGAGGAGAAAUGAAACAUGAGGUGAGGGGGUUAGGACAGGAAGAGAACCCAGAGCUUCCAGUCCCUGGAUCCUAGAGAGCAAUACAGCCUCUUCCCUUUCCUCAUCGUAGCUACCCAGUGAAUAAAUCCCUCGUUCUACCUCAUUCAGAUCAACUUCAGUGCCUGUUGUUUGCAACCCACAGUGUCCCAAUUCAGGACUUGGGAACUGUUUUCCUUUUCAUGGAUUGUGUAGAACUGAAAGGGAUACGUCAUUCUCAGAACUUAUAUUCUUGUUCCGAUGUGCCAGCUGUACUUAAAAAUAAAAGAAUCCCAGACCCAUCUCCAUGUUCACCACCACCCCUCCUGUUAAUUUCCUGCUGAAUUGCAGCUCAACGCAUGUGCUGGGAUUUCAAGUCCUGCCCUAAUCAAUUUACUACCACCUCCCCAACCUUAACCCCAACCUACACGCACCUUCCUACGCUGGCCUGUGCGUGCAGCCUGCCCUGGCCUCUACUGUGACGCCUACCACGUUAUAUUUGUAAUGAUUUGUUUAUGACUGUCCCCAUACUAGGGAAGGCAUCGAGCUUGAGGAAGAGGCCCCAUUCAUCUCCGUACCCCAGGCCCUGGUACACAGCAGAUAAACCUGCCAGUAAUUUCAGCAAAUGAAACGUGGAACACGUCAAGGCCAGAGGAUGGAAAAGGCUCCAGUUUUGAUAAAAGGAGGCCUGCUUGGCUUGGAAUCCUCUCUCCUGCUGGUUGGGAGAUGCAAAGAUGUUUCCAGAGAGGGGCUGAUGAAUUGAGGGGAAAGAAAUGAGCCCAGUAUGAGUCCCCUUUCAGGGCUGAGCGUGUAUAAAACCAAACAACUUGGAACCGCUCCAAGAGAGGGGAUUAAAGCAACAUGUUAUUCUGAGUGAUUGCUUAAUUUAUUGAGCUGCGGCUGGAUCUGUAAUGAAAUACAGCCCUUGUAACUGAUAACCUCCUGCUGCCAUUGAACUUCUACAAUUAAGGAAUAUUUUCUGAGUUUCUCUGGAACGGCUCUGAAUUUUUAGCCUCUGUGGUAGGGUGCUUCUGAACAUUUGUUUUCCAGGCAAUUUUUUUUGAGUAUUAGGCUGAUGUUAAUAAAUAAGCAGCAUUUUAUUGAGUG
rnacentral:lncRNA from 1 species